GUGUUUUUACUCUGAGGUAUCAGUACUUGUAAUAAAGUGUUUUACUCUGAGGUAUCAGUACUUGUAUUCAAGUGUUUUACUCUGUGUUAUCAGUACUUGUAUUAAAGUGUUUUACUCUGAGGUAUCAGUACUUGUAUUAAAGUGUUUUACUCUGAGGUAUCAGUACUUGUAUUAAAGUGUUUUACUCUGUGUUAUCAGUACUUGUAUUAAAG